UCAAAUCCAUAGGGUUUUUUUCUUUAUUAUUGUUACGUGUGUGUGUGUGUGUGUGUGUGUGUGUGUGUGUGUGUUUUAUGUACAAGUGCGCACAAUUAUGUAAGUACAACCUACUGAGUUUGAUAUUGCUGUUUAUGUGUGUAUAUGGUUUUUGGGAGGACCACUUUGUAUUAGAGAACCAGGAAGGGGCUCAUCCCUGGGAGAAGGCUAACUCUCCUUCUCCUGGCAGCAUUGAGACCCAGGUAGCAUCUGACGUUUCCAAGGACUGGGAGGACACAUUGCAUUUGCUUGCCUGGGUCUCGUGACUUUGGGCUGGCUACUCCCUAUCAUCUAGGCUCCUCACCAGAAUGAAGGUAGCACAGGGUCACAUCCCUUGGGACAGUUGUGAGGAUGCUGCCCCCAUGCAGAGCCUGGUGGGACCUGGGGCACUGUCAGUGGUCUCUGGGAAUUGUUUGCUUUUCUGGUUUUAAGACAUGUUUGGGAGUUGGACGUGGUGGCACACACCGUUAAUCUCAGCACUCAGAAGGCAGGGGCAGGUGGAUCUCAGUGAGUUCAAGGCCAGCCUGGUCUACAGAGUGAGUUCCAGGACAGCCAGGGCUACACAGAGAAACCCUGCCUCAGAAAAACAAACAAACAAACAAACAGACAGACAGAAGAACUGCAUUUGGGGUUUUGUUUUCUGUUUCCCAUUGUUCGCUACUUGUAGAGACAUCCUGUCCAUCCUGUCCAUCUGUCCUCCUUUUCUUCCUUUCAUUUUUCAAAUUUUGGCACUUUUUGUUUUGGUUUGGUUUGGUUGGUUUUGGUUUUUUGUAUUUAUUCCUUUCUCUUUUUUAAUUUUCUUUCUUUUUUUGACACAGGUAUAGGAUUUUGAUUGUUGGUGUACAGGGAGGCUACUGAGUUGUGUGUUGCUUUUGUUUCCUGGUGCUUUGCUGAACGGAUGGGUAAGAUCUAGUUUUCUUGGGGAGUCCUCUGAGUCUUUAAGUACAGGUCUAUGUCAGCUGCAAAUAGGGAUGCUUAGACUUCUCCUUUCCUGUUUGUAUCUUUGUUUCUUUCUCUUAUCGCCCUCUCUAUGAGUGUAAGUGCUAUAGUGAGCAGGAGCAACAGGAAGGGCCCCUCAAGGGGCAUUUGUGUUGUGUGCAGUGUCUGGUCGCUGGGAAGCAUCCUCUGCUCUCCACACACAGCCACUGCAUACGUGAAUACAUCUGCAUGUGCGUGUGCGUGUGCAUGUGUGUGUGCUUUGGACACAUGCAUCUUCGUGUGUCAUGUGUAUAUACACACAGGCAGAUACAGAAAAAAGAAGAGUGAGCAUAAUGCUCACUUUCCUUAUUCUGAUAUUGGAGGAAAUGCUUUCGCUUUCCCUGUCUAUAGUUUUCUGUAUACAGCCUUUGUCACAUUACAAUCUACUCCUUAUGUUCUUAGUUCCCUCAUGAAGUGACACUGAACUUUCUCUAAGGCCUUUUCCACAUCUACAGAGGUGAUCAGGUGAUUUCUGUCCUACAGUGUGUUUCUUUUCUCUUUCCUUUUUAAAAUAUUUAUUGAUUUAUUUUAUAUAAGUACACUAUAGCUGUCUUCAGAAAUGCCAGAAGAAGGCAUUGGAUCCCAUUACAGAUGGUUGCGAGCCACCAUGUGGUUGCUGGGAAUUGAACUUGCUGAGCCAUCUCUCUGGCACCCCUAAAGUGUGUUUCUAUGUUGUGUUACAGUCCUUGGUUUCAUAUGCUGGAGCAACUGUGUAGCCCCUGGUUACCUUGAUCAUGACUCACCUUGGUCUUGGUGUGUGCUUGAAUUCUAUAUAUAGGUAUUUGAUUGACCAUUUUCAUGUCUAUGCUCACCAGCGAAAGUGGACUAAUAGUCUUUUUUUUUUUUUUUAAUUUUGAGCAGGCCUCACUAUGUAGCCUUUGUUGGCCUGGAGCUCACAGAAAUCCACCUGCCUCUGCCUCCCCAGGUAGUCAGACUAGAGGUUGAACAUGUCAGCUGGUCUACAGGGCAGGUAUGUAAAAGUGUGUUCUUCAGUUCGAAUGACUGUGUAGUUUCUGCGAUUGGUUUUGUUACUUAUUUCUAGUUUCAUUUCACUGUGGUCCCAUAAGACACUAGAAAAUUCCUGACUCUUUUACCUUUGUCUCUUUUACAUUUGUUAAAGCAUGCUUUGUGGCCUAGAAGGUGGUCUAAUCUUGAGACAGACCCUUGGGCUGCCAAGAUGUACAUUUUACCUCCUCUACUAGGUAAAAGGUUCCAGACAGAGCUUU
rnacentral:lncRNA from 1 species